CCUUUGUACACACCGCCCGUCGCUACUACCGAUUGAACGGCUCAGUGAGGCCUUCGGACUGGCCCAGGGAGGUCGGCAACGACCACCCAGGGCCGGAAAGUCGUCCAAACUCGGUCGUUUAGAGG
rnacentral:rRNA from 1 species